rnacentral:rRNA from 1 species
AUUGAACGCUGGCGGCAUGCCUUACACAUGCAAGUCGAACGGUAGAGGGGGCAACCCCUUGAGAGUGGCGAACGGGUGAGUAAUGCAUCGGAACGUGCCCAGUUGUGGGGGAUAACGUAGCGAAAGCUACGCUAAUACCGCAUACGACCUGAGGGUGAAAGCGGGGGACUCGAAAGAGCCCCGCGCGAUUGGAGCGGCCGAUGUCAGAUUAGCUAGUUGGUGGGGUAAAGGCCCACCAAGGCGACGAUCUGUAGCUGGUCUGAGAGGACGACCAGCCACACUGGGACUGAGACACGGCCCAGACUCCUACGGGAGGCAGCAGUGGGGAAUUUUGGACAAUGGACGAAAGUCUGAUCCAGCCAUGCCGCGUGCGGGAAGAAGGCCCUCGGGUUGUAAACCGCUUUUGUCGGGGAAGAAAUCUUCUGGGUUAAUACCUCGGGAGGAUGACGGUACCUGAAGAAUAAGCACCGGCUAACUACGUGCCAGCAGCCGCGGUAAAAC